rnacentral:rRNA from 1 species
UAGGGAAUAUUGGACAAUGGGGGGAACCCUGAUCCAGCCAUGCCGCGUGGAGGAAGACUGCCCUCUGGGUUGUAAACUCCUUUUAUAUGGGAAGAACCGUCCUCAUUGAUGAGUGACCUGACGGUACCAUAGGAAUAAGCACCGGCUAACUCCGUGCCAGCAGCCGCGGUAAUACGGAGGGUGCAAGCGUUAUCCGGAUUCACUGGGUUUAAAGGGUGCGUAGGAGGAUAUGUAAGUCAGUGGUGAAAUCAACGGGCUCAACCUGUUAACUGCCAUUGAUACUGUGUAUCUUGAAUAUGAGAGAGGUAGGCUGAAUGUUGCAUGUAGCGGUGAAAUGCUUAGAUAUGCUACGGAACACCGAUUGCGAAGGCAGCUUACUAUUUCGUAAUUGACGCUGAGGCACGAAAGCGUGGGUAGCGAACA